CGCUCAGGAGCCAUUGAUGUGCCAGCUCAAUUAAUGAGCUUCAUCCAACGCUCCAUGUUUCUUUUUUCCAUUUUAAUUUCUGAUUUCAUUUUUCUUUUUAUUGGGUUUGGAAGGCGCGCGCUCAGGAGCCAUUGAUGUGCCAGCUCAAUUAAUGAGCUUCAUCCAACGCUCCAUGUUUCUUUUUUCCAUUUUAAUUUCUGAUUUCAUUUUUCUUUUUAUUUCUUUAAUUCCAUUUUAUUUCCAAAAAUCAUAUCUCCUUCAUUAUUGGUCCAAAAAAUGUGAGACCAAUUGCAUUCU
rnacentral:lncRNA from 1 species